CGCUUAGUGGAUGGCUUGGCUGAGGCAAGCAAGGCUCCGUGGCAAGCUGCGAUAAGCCUUGGGUAGCCGCAUGCAGGCUUUGAUCCAAGGAUGGAGCUGUGCGCAGGAAUGCGCAUCAACCCCGGGAAAUGAAGCAUCUUAGUACCGGGUGGAAAAGAAAGCAACUGCGAUCUGGGUAGUAAUGGCGAAUGAACCCCAGAUAGACCGUCACGAAUGCUCCGCAGUAAUGCGGAUGCAGAUGUGUGGGGGAGCAUCCUUUUUCCGACUCAAAGUUCCCUGGAACGGGACGCCAAAGAGGGUGAGAGCCCCGUAGGGGAAGGAAAAAGGAGCGAUCCAGAAGAGUACCGUGCUCUGGCUGAGCUCGGGAAGAUGGGGGAACUAACCUCCAAGUCUAAAUAUGUGCCUCAGACCGAUAGCGAAUUAGUAGCGCGAGCGAACGCUGAAAAGCACCCCGGAAGGGGGGUUAAAAGAGCCUGAAACUAAGCGGGGACAGGCAGCCAGAGCUCAAAAGGUUGGCCUGCUGAACCUCCUGUUCGAGAGGACAGGCGGGAAGCAGGUGUUCCAGGGUUCUGGCAUUCUUCUCGAAGCAAGAGCCAGGGAGUUGCUUGCGGUGGCGAGCUGAAAGGCGAAGCGAAAGCAAAAGCCCGCAGGAAACGAGGGGCGUCCUCUUAACCGGGGACAAGUCACCGCAUGCAGACCCGAAGCCCGUUGCGAACUACGCCCGAGCAGGGUGAAGCCAACCGUCAGGUUGGUCGAGGCCCGCAACUAGUGGUGGUAUAUUCCCCUUAGGUGACUCGGGUGUAGGGGUGAAAGUCCAGUCGAGCCGGGUGAUAGCGGGUUCCUUCCGAGAUGAGUCUCAGCUCAGCGUCGCCGGAGCUUGAAGGUGGGGUAGAGCACCGAUUAGGGAGUAAGGGGGAGAAAUCCCUCCCUUCCUUAUCGAACUCCGAAUCUGCCUUCAGCGUAGAUGGCGGCAGUGGGGUUCCUCGGGGUAAGCCUGAGGGCCAUUACGGGAACGACCGUACGCGGGGCUAAGGGCCCUAAGUGCUGGCUAAGUGUGAAUCUGAAAGGAGGCCCCUCCCCAAGACAGCUGGGAGGUAGGCUUAGAAGCAGCCACCCUCCAAACAACGCGUAAUAGCGGACCAGCCGAGGGAGCGGUCUCCAAAAAUUUACGGGGCUAAGCCAGCCUCCGAUUCCCCGCCCCUCCGAAAGGAGAGGAGUAGGAAGGCGUCCGGACUGCUGAGAAGUAAGGGCGCGAGCUCUUAUGGAGCAGUCUGGAAUGAAUAUCCUGGCGCUAGUAGCAGCAUAUCCAGGUGAGAAUCCUGGAGGGCUGAUAGGGCACGGUUUCCUUGGCAAUGUUCGUCAGCCAAGGGUUAGGCGGUCCUAAGCGCGCCCCUAAUCGGAAGCGCGCGAAAGGGAAGCGGGUUAAUAUUCCCGCCCCAUGAGGAUAGGCGCGGCAACGCAAGGGGUUUUGCUGACGCCUUGGGAUAGGUUCAGCGGAAGAGAUUCCGUCUAAAGAGGAUAGAACUGCAGAGUCUCGUUGUGAGGAGAAGCAGUUCAAACUCUUAUGGGGAAACUGGACUGAUUCCCGGGGCCCAUGAAAAGGCAAAGCCCAACGAUUCCUCAUGCCCGUACCUAGAACUAGUACAGGUGCCCCUAGCUGAAAAGGCUCAGCCCUAUAGGGAGAACCCAAGCGAGGGAAUUCGGCAAGUUGGCUCCGUAUCUUCGGUAGAAGGAGUGCCUGCUUUCGAUGAGAAGGCAGGUGGCACUGACAAGGGGGGAGCGACUGUUUACCAAAAACACAGGUCAUCGCAAAGCAGAAAUGCCUUGUACGAUGGCCGACGCCUGCUCACUGCUGGUACCUGAAAGCCCGGUUCAACGGGAAGAAGGGCCAGUAAAGAGCGGAGGUAACUCUGACCUUCAAUUAAGGAGGUCGUAAAAUCUGGCUAUAUGCUGGGAACCCAGAAGGCUCAUGCUACAGAGCAUGUGAAAAUGCAUGGCCGAUGAGGGCAAUCAGCAGGAAAUUUCCAAACUCUAAAAUAGCGAGGUGGUGUGAAUGAAAAAAGAUAAAAGGCUGAGUAAGCCUUUUAAAAAACAAAAAUACCUUGCCUACUAUCUUUUGGGGUUGAUAGAUGGAGAAGGAUGCUUCAGCGUCGCGGUGAAAAAACAAGAGGGAACAAGGUUUGGGUGGGUGCUUGACCCAGUGUUCCACAUAACGCAGCAUAAAAGUGCAAAGGCUGUUCUUGAGCUUGCAAAAGAAUACUUUCAUUGCGGCCGAAUUAUUCCAAAACCAGGCCAAGAGGACACACUCCAGUUUAUUGUUGAAAACAGAAAACAGAUCGCACAGAAAAUAAUACCAUUCCUAAACAAAUACAAACCUAUAAUAAAGGCAAGGGAUUUCCAGCUUUUUAAGGAGAUUGUAGAAGGCUUGGAGAGAAAGGAGCAUUCCACCCUUUCUGGAUUCAAGCGACUUUUGCAGAUUGCUUUUUCCAUGAAUAUGCGCGGAAAGCAGAGAAGGUAUAGCUUGGAAAAAGUGCUGGAGAGUUUGGAAAGAUCCUCAGAGACUCUACGCCAGACACCUGCUCAAGCAGGUGAUGAUAGAGUCCAACCCACACAGUAAUGUGUGAAGGUUGCUUAAGGUAGCGUAAUACCUCGCCGCUUAAUUGGCGGCUUGCAUGAAUGGCGUAACGUCUCCCCCACUGUCCCUGCUUGGGACCCUGUGAAGUCACUUCCCGGUGAAGAUGCCGGGGACUUCCAGUGGGAAACGAAGACCCCAUGGAGCUUUACUAUAGCCUGGUGUUUUUUCAUCGGUGGGAAUACAGAGCGUAGGUGGGAGCCAUCGAAGCAACCCUUUCGGGGGUUGUGGAGGCGCCAAUGUAACACCACCUUUUCUUGUCGGUGAGGAUUACCCGAAAGGGAACAGCACCAGGUGGAUAGUUUGGCUGGGGCGGUACGCCCACGAAAAAGAAACAUGGGCGCCCAAUGGUCAACUCACCCGGGUCAGAAAUCCGGGGAAGAGGGUGAAGGACAUAUGUUGGCCUGACUGUAUCCCUAAAAGCGUGGGAUGCAGAGACGAAAGUCGGGCCUAACGAACCUGGGCUGCCUAUUAGUGGGGCAUCCAGCUGUCAAACAAGCUACCCUGGGGGUAACAGGCUCGUCGCGGGCGAGAGUACACAAACCUCUUUCUUGGAAGAAAGAACUUUUUGCAAAAAGGUUUGUACAAAUCGACCCCGCGGCUUGGUACAUCGCUGUCGGCUUGGGCCAUCCUGGUGGUGCAGGAGCCACCAAGGGUUGGGUUGUUCAUCCAUUAAAGGCCCACAUGAGCUGGGUUCAGUACGUCGCGAGACAGUACGGUAGUAUCUGCUGGAAGUGUUGCUCUUUGAGGGGAAGGGUCUUUUAGUACGAGAGGAACUUGGACCCGGGGCCUCUAGUUUACCGGUUGUCACAGGCACUGCCGGGCAGCCACGCCCCAUGGCGAUAAGACCUGAAAGCAUCUAAGGUCGAAGCGCCUCCCAAAACUAGAGAGCAAAGCCCGCCCAUAGCAGAUGGGUUUGAUAGGACGGUGGUGUAA
rnacentral:rRNA from 1 species